GUGUAAACGGAUAAUGGACAUGGUGAGCAA
rnacentral:piRNA from 1 species